rnacentral:rRNA from 1 species
UACGUAGGGUGCAAGCGUUAAUCGGAAUUACUGGGCGUAAAGCGUGCGCAGGCGGCUUUGCAAGACAGAUGUGAAAUCCCCGGGCUUAACCUGGGAACUGCAUUUGUGACUGCAUGGCUCGAGUGCGGCAGAGGGGAUGGAAUUCCGCGUGUAGCAGUGAAAUGCGUAGAUAUGCGGAAGGAACACCGAUGGCGAAGGCAAUCCCCGUGGGCCUGCACUGACGCUCAUGCACGAAAGCGUGGGGAGCAAACAGG